GCAGUUGAAGAGGAGUGCAUGGUUUCCGGCAUUUGGCUGGGCCUUUGUCUCUCGCUCCCACCAGAGCUUGGAAUCCGUCUCUGCUCUUCUGCAUUCUCCACCUCGGGAGCCCCUGGGGACUCUGUGACGGCCUCUGUUGCCCUGUGAUCUGCAGGUCCGGAGAGACGCACAGCUAAGAUGUCAGGACAUCCUGGAAGCUGGGAAAGGGUCUUGCCAUCUCUAAGCUGGACCUGGUGACCUUUUUGGAGGGAAAGAAAGAGCCCUGGACUGUGAAGAGUGAGGAGACCAUAGCUGCACAGCCAGUCCAGAUGUAUAAUCUCAUCCCUGAACAUUUCUGAUGGUGUGAUUAUGACAUGUGACUUUAUCUGGCAACAGAGUGAGUUGUUGCUCCCGCCUGAGCCCAGCCCCCAGAAAGGAUUGUGACAUAUCGUUGGACCCAGAAUUGAGGUGCAGUUUUGACACACUUCUGUCUAGCAGCUGAGUAUUGUGAUCUUCAGAACUGGCCCAGCCUACAAAUAGGAUUGUGCCACACUGCUGGACCCAGCACCUAGAUGAUGUAACUAUUCUCCUGCCUUGGUGCUACUCAAAAAAGACAUUAACAUAUCUCAGAGCCUUGCACCCAGGUGGAAUUGUGACAUAUAACUUGGCCAAGCACACAGAUGUAAUGGUGUGGUGACUCUCAUACCUAGAACUGGGACCUGUGCAGGAUUGUUAAUUCAUUACUGGACAUUCCUGUGGGUGUGAUUGUUACAUAUGCCUAUGUUCAGCACCCGAGUGAUUUGAUUUUGCUGCCUGGUCUCAGUCCAAAUGUAAGAUUGUGAUUUAUCGCUGAAUCCAGCACCUCGGUGAUUUGACUCUCCCUUUUUUUGUGGGAGGGAUCCUGCAAAUUUUGGGUAUUGUCAAUUAUUGCUGAAUCCUGUACCCAUGUUAUGACUCUCCCAAAUGUGCCUUACCUGUUGUGGCACAAUAUAUCACAUUAGACAUUGUUAAAUAUUGUUGGGUUCAACACCUGGGUGAUGGAUGUAACUUUUUUUCUGGGCCUGCCUACAGGGGACCUUGUGACAUAACUCAAUGCCCAUCAUCAUGGUAAUGUUACUCUCUUCUCCUGCCUGAUCUCUGCUCACAGAGAAAUUGUGACACAUCACUGGCCUAGCAUCUAGGUGAUGUGACUCUCCUCUUUUUUUCAGGCUCUGCAUAUUUGGGUAUUGUGACAUAUUGCUGAACUCAACACCUAAGGGAUGGGAGUCUCCUACCUAGGCCCUUCCUACAGGGGACAUUGUGACAUGUCUCUGCAUUCCUCAUCCAGGAGAUGUGACUCUCCUUUUCUGCCUACACCCUGCCUACACAGAAAGUUGUGGCAUAUUGCUGUGGUCAGCAACCAGAUGAUAUAUUUCUCCUGCCUGGGUCUUUAUUACAGGAAAGAUGAUUGACAUAUUACUGGGCCCAGCAUCCAGAUGAUGUGACUCUCUUCUUCUGUUGGUCCUUGCUUACAGGGAAACUGUAGCAUAUUGCUACACCCAACACCUAGCUUAUGUGAUUCUUCUUUUAGGUUUGCCUUCAGGGAACAUUGUGACAUAUUGCUGGGCCCUGCACUGAUAAUUUGUGACUCUUCUGCCUGUGAUUUGCCCACUUGGGGCAUUGUGACAUAUUGCUGGGUUUAACACUCAGGUGAUGUAACUUUUAUGCCUAGGCCUUGCUUACAGGAGGCAUUUUGAAAUGUCUUUGUGGCUGGGCAUGGUGGCUCAUGUCUGUAAUCCCAGCGCUUGGGGAGGCCAAGGUGGGCAGAUCACAAAGUCAGGAGUUCGAGACCAGCCUGGUCAACAUGGUGAAAACCUGUCUCUACUAAAACAAAACAAAACAAAACAAAACAAAACAAAACAAAACAAAACAAAACAAAUAAAACCACAAAAA
rnacentral:lncRNA from 1 species